UUUAUUUGUCUAUAUUGUUAUAUUUGCUUGUUUAAGAAGCUUUGAUUUGUUUUUAUUCUUUGUUUUAAUAUCUUGUAACUUGAUUCAAUCAAGGGAUUGAAUCAAGGGGUUAAAGGUUUGUUGGUGAGCCAAAGGAAAACCAACGGUGUAAGGUUUGUUGGUGAGCCAAAGGGAAAACCAACGGGGUUUAGGUUUGUUGGUGAGCCAAAGGGAAAACCAACGGAGUUUAGGUUUGUUGGUGAGCCGAGGGUAAAACCAACGUGUAAGGGUUUGAUUGUGAUCCCGGAAAAACAAUCGGAGUGGUUCUAGUCGGUGAGCCUGGGAAAACCGACCGAGUUCGUUGUGACCUCGUAAAACAACAAGUUGGGUUGUGAGCUUGUAAAACAACCGACUGUAAUCUGUAGGAUUAUAGUGAAAUUCCCAAGAAGUCUUGGGGAGUGGAUGUAGGUGCUGUGGUGCACCGAACC
rnacentral:lncRNA from 1 species